rnacentral:antisense_RNA from 1 species
GGAGGGAGCUGGCUUGCCUGCGAUAGCGGUGGUUCAGCUGUGCAUAUAUCAACUGACAGGCCGCUAUCUCAGGCAAGCCAGCUCCCACA